UACGUAGGGACCGAGCGUUGUCCGGAUUCAUUGGGCGUAAAGCGCGUGUAGGCGGCCGUACAGGUCCGGUGUGAAAACUCGAGGCUCAACCUCGAGAGGUCAUCGGAAACCGUACGGCUAGAGUCCGGAAGAGGAGAGUGGAAUUCCUGGUGUAGCGGUGAAAUGCGCAGAUAUCAGGAAGAACACCCAUGGCGAAGGCAGCUCUCUGGGACGGUACUGACGCUGAGACGCGAAAGCGUGGGGAGCGAACAGG
rnacentral:rRNA from 1 species